rnacentral:lncRNA from 1 species
GUCUACUCAGGUGUGAAUUACUAAAAAGUUUAGUCUACCCAGGUGUGAAUAAAAAUGGUCAGUCCUUUGGAAGACGUCUACUGUGAUUGGUAGAUGUGAGAACUUAGGGGAGGUGACAUAGGAGAAAAUUCCCUUUAAAAGGAGGUCAAAAAGAGGUCUCUGAAGAUUCAGCUGGGAAAAGCUGAAUUGGAGGAGGCAGCUGGCCAAAGAUGCCUUGAAGGGCUUGAUGGCUGAACUUGAUUGACCUAACUGAAGCUGAACUGGUGUCUCUCUGAACACUAGAAUCUUGCUUGGGACAAAUCUUGUGCUCAACCAAGAAUCUGCAUCUUCCUUCCUCCAGUCCAGCAGCUGCCUCUCCCUGAGACCUGGCCUCCACCCUUCUCCUCACCACAAGCAAAGGAGUCAACAGGAAAAUGAAGUACAAAGAGAGGGUGCUGUCCACUUCAGUAAAGCUGGCCUUUGUGUGGCAGUUGAACCACUGAAGUCCAAAAGCAAGACAAAAAUCAGGAUGACUGGUGAUGGCCCAGAAUGAAGUGGAUGACCUUGUCAUCUUUGAUGUCUGAGCAAGCUCUAAAUUCUCUACAG